CCAAGUAGGGUGAACAUCACAGACAGGCAGGCCAGCACGGCAUCACCUCUCCCACCGCCGGCCCAGAUGGCUCCAUCACCUCCAGGAACUGCCCUGGUGGAGUCCUGAGGCCUUUGGGGCCAGGACUGCGUUUCCAGGUUGCCAGCUCCCCAUCUUCCUGAUGCCCUGCAGAGCUAAGGGCCCUGCACCUCCCACAGCAAUCGGAGCCACCAUCCUGCUCCAGGCCUUCGGUUAAGGGCGCGCCAGGGGCGGGCGAGGUUGAACACGCCUGGGGGCAGGAAGCCCUGCAGCCUCCUCUGCAAAACCAUCAGAGCCACCUCUCUGGCCGCAGGGUUGCACAGAGGCCGCCAGGGGCGCCUUGGCCCUGCCCCCAGGAGCCGUCCAAGCUGGGCUGCGAAGGGAAAGGGAUUCCCCGCGCCAUCCACAGCCCCAGGACCUGUGGGUGACCAAGAAGACAAGGAAGAUGGUGGCAAGGGCAAGAGGUAAUUGGCCCUGAGAGCCACCUUCCCCUGCCUUGGACCUUACUCGUUGACCUCUUCCAGAUGGCGGACUGGGGGCCAGCAGGAGAAAGAGCCCUAAGGGAGAGGUUCUGGUCCAGCCCCGGUCAAGGGCCAGCCCUGGGAAGUCCUGACCUUCACAUCCCCAGCCACCAUCCACCCAGUACCCCUGGGCGGCCAGCGGGCAGGUGAAGCACUUGCACACCCGUCGGGGCUGCAGAGGGGGAGCUGUGAGCCCGGGAGCCCAGGGAUGGCCGCCAAAGCCAGAAGGAGCCAGAGAAGGGCGCCGUGCAGCCUCUGCUGUGGCCUGGGGGCCUCCCACUGAGCUGUGAGGAACAAGGACGAGGACCGGCCCCUGGGAGCAGGGCCCCCACACCUGCCGGACGCUCGUGCUGGCAGGUGGCGGAACUUGCAGAGGCCUGAGUUCACGACCCAAGCCAAGCAGCGUCGCAGCACAUAUCCAAUCACUCUCUGGCUAGAGUGCACCCUCCCCCGGACGUACCUCUGGAUGACCAUGGACGUGGGCAGCCCUGGGGACAGCCAGCCCUGCCCUCUCCAGCACCACCUGCCCCACCCAGUGCCGACCCUCAUGUGCCAUUUGGCCUCUCUCUGUUCCCUCUCCUGGACCACCUUCUCCCUGGUCUGUCCGGCCACCUUGCCCCCUUCCCCUUGCUGUAGCUGGCCGACCCCCUCUCCUGCACCCUCGGCACACGCAGGGUGCCGGGUGCACUGCUCACACCCGGCCCCGAGGAAAGGGGGCUGAGGCAGGGGCUCCCGCAGGUCGAGCCCUCCCUCCGAGAGCUCGCUGCGCCCGAGCACCACCAUCUCCUCCUCUUGGGUUUCCCGUGGUGCCCCUGCUGCAGGGCCGGCUUCAUUGCCCACCCAAGAGGGGCCUGGAGCCCAGGGUUCCCCACCCCUCCUCUGAGUAGGGCCAGGCGGGUCCCUCUCUGGAAAUAAAGCCCAGCACUGAGCCGCUGGGGCUGGGGCGGCCUCCCCUGCAGCCCGGAGCGGGCCCUUGCUCGUCUGUCCUAAGCAAAUUUGCCAGUGUCCCCACAUGGGGAGCUGCGGGGUGGGUGUGACAGGACGUUAUCUGAGAGUCAGUGCCACCCUGGCGAGGGGCUGGGCUUCCUGGGGAAGCUCCACCUGCUUUGGCAUACCCUAAUUUUAGACUUCUUAUACCUAAUUAGAGAUCAACGUUUCAAAAUUUGUUUUUAAUCAACCAAAUUCCUGCACAUCCUUCCGAACUGGCCCCGAGCCACCUCGCCUCCUUCCCACACGGACCCCAGUGAGCCUGUGUGCUCUUUUCCACGAAGUCCCUUCCCCCAGCUGCCUCCUCCUCCUUCCGGGGCCUUCCUGGACCCUCUCCUGGACACAGUGGCCCCGGGGCACAUGUGGUAAUGGUCUCCCGUGAUCCUCGAUAACCCCGUGAGGUGGGUCUGGUCAGCCCCAGUUUACAGAUGAAGAAACUGAGUCUUACCAAUACUGAGCAGCUCGCCCAAAGCCACCAGCUAUGGGUGGGGCCAGGCAUGGUGCAGGGCCUGAGGCUGGCCAGGAGCAGAAUUGAGGGUGAGGGCGUGGGCGGCCUUUGAGUGGCCUCACCCUGGCCUGUGAGGGAGUACAUGCUCUGCCCCCAGAGGCACGUGGUGGUCACAGCCCAUCACCAUGGAAACCAGGCCGGGGCCCCUGGAGCCCUCAGCUCUGGUUUGGAUUUCAAACCCAAUGCCGCUUUCUCAGAAGCAACUUGGUCAAACUUUCCAAAUAGGAAAAGUGGAAGGAAAAAGAGAGAGAGAGAAAUUCCCAGACUGAAGCCACCCCAGAAAGACGGCCUGGGCCCUGAGCUGGGGAAGCCCUGUCUGGGUGGGCAGUGUGGUGGCAGGGCAGAGACCCCGUAGCCUCCCCAGGGCUCAUGCCCCUCCUCUGGGGAGCAGGCGGUGGUGGUGCAGCCGAAGCAGGUGGGCCCGGCCCUUCCUGUCUCUGCGGGAGCAGCUGCCCUUUUGUGUUUCCCAGUGGGGUGUGUGAGAAAGGGCUCUUUUGGAAAAAGGGUUGGAAAACCACUGACCUCAUCCAGCUGGCCUGCCUUUGGAGAUGGGGAAACUGAGGUCAGGGUCGGGACCAGGAAGUCAAAAGCAGGGCUAAACCACGAAGGUAGGGCAGCAUGGCUACGCCCAGAGCAGGCGCACCGGAAGAUCUGUGGGUCGGGCCCCAUGUGGACGGGGCGCUGGGGCAUCCACACUCCAGCCCCCUGCAGCAGCCCCGGCUCCACGCCAUGGGGGUGCCGCCCAGCCCUGUGCUCGGGCUCCUGGGCCAGCGCCCAUCGCCACAGGAAGGCCGUCCUCCCUUGGGGCUUCCACUCCAGCUCAGGAUGACUCUGAGCUACCCAGGGCACACCUGGGAAGCCCGCAAGGAAGGGGAGGUGAAUGAGCAGCAGCCACAGGCACGGUGCCCUGAGGGGAUGGGGGACAGGCAAAGGCCACCAGAUACACUCUGCCCUCCCCUAUGCCCCCACCCAUUGCCAGACCCCUUAGGGACCCUCAGCUGCGCUCCACCCUGCCCCUCCCACCCCCAGAACCCUCUGUGGGGGGGAUGCUCCUGCCCACUGCUUUCACUGUCGAGACAGGUGUUUGGAGACGUGAUGGCAAGGCAGUCACGCACUCUGGCAGGGGUGGGCCCGGAAUGGCCACGUCCUGAUGGCACCAGGCUGCUCCCUGGGGCCCAGUGUGUGGCUUGUGGCCAUCUUGACACUGUUGGGACCACAGGGCUCUCGAGUGCCAAGCGCUGGACGUUUACAUCCCCCAUCUCACAAAUGAGGAGGUUGGGUCUGUGCAGUCACAGGGCACCUGACUCGGUCAGAGGUGCGCCGGCCCACGGGGGCGGCCCCCCGGCAAAAGCAGCAAGCCUUGGCUCAGCCUCAGCCCCCACACUCCCUGGCUCUGUGGCUCAGGGCUUGUGGUCUUCAGAGUCCCUCCUGCUGGGCUGGGGUGGGGCCAGCUAAUCAGGGCCAGGCAAGCAGGAUGAUGCCCAGGGCGGAGGUGGGCUUGAACCUCCACUCCUGCCGGGCUGGGCGCAGGCUGGGUGGGGAGGGCGGUGGGCAGGAGGUGAGAAGCAUCCGAGCUCUGCUCCCUGCGGGCUGCGCGAUGCUGGGCCUCAGUUUGCUCACCGUGAGAUGGGAAUCAUGGGGCCGCAGGGAGGAGGAAAUGUCUGCUGUCCCCGAGCUCCUCUGUGCCCCAUGGAAGCAAGCCCUGUGGCCUCCCUUCCAUGGCAGAGGCCUGCUCCCUGACAUUGUUUCCCACCUCAGCCCAGGGGCCAGGCCACAGCCACUGCCCUCCCACAGGCCGGGAGCCACAGGGAGGGCCUGCAUCCGGAGUGAGCCCCAGCACUCCAUGGGCCAAGAGGACUAAGCAGAGACUGGCAUAGCCAAGCAUCCUCCUUCCCAAAGGACAGGUUCCUGCAGUGACUCUGCCACAGCCAAGGCCUCAGGGAGCCCCCUUCCUCCUGGCCCUGCCCCGCUGGGUCCUGCUCCUGCGGCCUCAGGAAACACAGCCCUCCCUCGGCCCUCUCCCACGGCUCCCUGCGGCUCCCUGCCAUCCGUGGUCUGAGCCGCUGCCUGCCCUGCUCCACUUUCCAAACCCUCAAGAGGGCCCUGGGCCUCCUCCGGAAGCUGCCCCCCUGCCGCCCUCCAGACGGCGCCUGCCUGGGGCAGUGUCCCAGGGGGAUGAAGCUGAGCCUGAUACGUGCCUGCCUCAGAAAGACUCAGCGGAGACACUGAUUCCAGGAGCAAGCCUCUGAGAAAUAACUUGCAGUGGGAAAAGCAGUGCACACUGGAAAAUGUUCUUCUCUCAGGAAUGUUGCACAGCAAGCUCCUGACCAUUCUGGAUGCGGAUACAAACACUGCUGUCCCGGGGCUGGCCAGAAACUCUGGGGUGGAGGCUGCCCGCAGGAUGUGGGACCCGGGGCAAGUCCCGUGCCCCACUGGGGGACCAUCAUGGUGGGGUGCCGCCUUCUGCCAGGGCAUCCUGGCAUGGCCACAGCAGUGAGCCCACACCUGGACACAGAAACUGUCCCCAAGGGCCUGGCAAAAAUGCACGUGGGGGCAGCCCGACCAGAGGCUGAUUAUGUCUGAUUGGUUUUUAAAGUCUAGCUGUGAAUGGGGGUGGCUUGGCUCGGGCAGGGAUUUAUGACCGCUGUGGUCCUGUCAGGGUGGGGCCGGGGCAUCCUACAGAAGGGAAGGCCUUGGGCACCUGCUCCAGGCUGAACCGGGCCCAGUGGGCUGGAGGCUGUGAAGUCCCAUGAAGCUUGCAGAGCCGAGGACACGGGAAGGAAGGAGAGCUCAGAGUGAUGCUAAGAAGUCACAAGCUUGCUAACCGUCUAAAGACUCUUAAAAACUGGGCCUUUUCCCUUGGAGAACUUGAAGUGAUUCUUUUGUUUACUUUGCUUUUGCAACCGGCCCAUCAAUCAACUCAAUAAAGCUAAAAAUAGCGCCACAGCAGCAAU